rnacentral:misc_RNA from 1 species
GAUGAAGAACGUAGCGAAAUGCGAUAAGUAAUGUGAAUUGCAGAAUUCAGUGAAUCAUCGAAUCUUUGAACGCACAUUGCGCCCGCCAGUAUUCUGGCGGGCAUGCCUGUUCGAGCGUCAUUACAACCCUCAGGCCCCCGGGCCUGGCGUUGGGGAUCGGCGGAAGCCCCCUGCGGGCACAACGCCGUCCCCCAAAUACAGUGGCGGUCCCGCCGCAGCUUCCAUUGCGUAGUAGCUAACACCUCGCAACUGGAGAGCGGCGCGGCCACGCCGUAAAACACCCAACUUCUGAAUGUUGACCUCGAAUCAGGUAGGAAUACCCGCUGAACUUAAGCAUAUCAAUGAGCGGAGGA